rnacentral:rRNA from 1 species
UACAGAGGUCUCAAGCGUUGUUCGGAUUCAUUGGGCGUAAAGGGUGCGUAGGCGGCGCGGUAAGUCGGGUGUGAAAUCUCGGAGCUUAACUCCGAAACUGCAUUCGAUACUGCCGUGCUUGAGGACUGGAGAGGAGACUGGAAUUUACGGUGUAGCGGUGAAAUGCGUAGAUAUCGUAAGGAAGACCAGUGGCGAAGGCGGGUCUCUGGACAGUUCCUGACGCUGAGGCACGAAGGUCAGGGGGGGAGCAAAACGGG